CUUUCUGAAGAUUUAAAAAAAGAUUUUAUUCAUCAAGACUUACCAUUAAGAAAACAUCACAUACGACUUUUCACAUUUGACCUACAAAAUUUAAUUGAUACUAUCACACUGACGAAAAUGAUGUUUUUAAUACUAAAAUUGUAAGCAAUGUAGACAUCAAAGAAAUACUAAAACACGAAAAAAGCCUGUAAUUUUCGCUGAAUUAAGGGAUAUCUCUGUAUUCAAAAUCGACCUGCAUAAAGAAUUAUUAAUAAUUUAUAUAAUGUACCAAAUUAUAAUAAACAGAUGCGAAACAUAUUACGCUAAUAGGGUCUUCCCACAGAGAUCCAUCCACCAUCUACCAUCCGUUGAACGGAUGGUCCCCAUCCAGAUUUGACGGACUAUUUUAUGCGAUAGUUAGGCGAUAAUUUUAGGUGAAAACCCUAAACUCUUCUUCUUGAAAGUGGAAAGUGGAACAUUCACUACGAAAACGUAAACAAUAAUGACGGGAAACUUUUGAAAAAGGAAGGCGACAAAGCAAUAGUCAAUAAUACGCGAACUGCCGGUGGCAAACUGAGGUGGACUAAGCAGAUGGAGGUCCUGCUCAUCGAUAUUUGGCAGGAGAGCAUCGAGGAGUUGCGGGGAGCCCGAAAGACCAAGACAGGCAGGAAAAAAAUAAAGUGGGGCCAAGCGGUGGCGCUCCUUCCGCGUGGCAGUAUUAUUAGUUGGUCCACUCGUUUCUAGGCGCAUACCGCAUCCACAACAUGGAGCAGAACCCCUUGGAGAACGAGAAUACUAGGGAAUAGUUUGUGGAGCUCUUGGAUGCAGACCCAGAUGACAGGGAAGCCUCUACCUGCAGCGGCAGUCAACGCUCAGGCGGCAAAGGUGGACCACAAGUCGGAGCUUGUGGAGAUAGAUCGAGAAAGACUGGAGGAGCAGAGAGCGCAGACAGAAAUAUUGUCGAGAAUGGCAGACAGCCAAGUAAAAUUCCAAUCGGAUUUGUUAGAGCUUUUAAGAAAAUCAACGAAUUCCUAAUAAAUUUAUAAUUUAUAAUAAAUAGACCAAA